rnacentral:rRNA from 1 species
CCUACGGGUGGCAGCAGUGGGGAAUAUUGGACAAUGGGCGAAAGCCUGAUCCAGCCAUGCCGCGUGUGUGAAGAAGGCCUUCGGGUUGUAAAGCACUUUCAGUAGGGAAGAAAGCCUUGGGGCUAAUACCCUCGAGGAAGGACAUCACCCACAGAAGAAGCACCGGCUAACUCCGUGCCAGCAGCCGCGGUAAUACGGAGGGUGCGAGCGUUAAUCGGAAUUACUGGGCGUAAAGCGCGCGUAGGCGGUCUGAUAAGCCGGUUGUGAAAGCCCCGGGCUCAACCUGGGAACGGCAUCCGGAACUGUCAGGCUAGAGUGCAGGAGAGGAAGGUAGAAUUCCCGGUGUAGCGGUGAAAUGCGUAGAGAUCGGGAGGAAUACCAGUGGCGAAGGCGGCCUUCUGGACUGACACUGACGCUGAGGUGCGAAAGCGUGGGUAGCAAACAGGAUUAGAUACCCCGGUAGUC